rnacentral:rRNA from 1 species
CGACGGCGGACGGGUGAGUAACACGUGGGUAACCUGCCUCAUACAGGGGGAUAACAGUUGGAAACGGCUGCUAAUACCGCAUAAGCGCACAGUACCGCAUGGUACCGUGUGAAAAACUCCGGUGGUAUGAGAUGGACCCGCGACUGAUUAGCUAGUUGGUGGGGUAACGGCCUACCAAGGCGACGAUCAGUAGCCGACCUGAGAGGGUGACCGGCCACAUUGGGACUGAGACACGGCCCAA